UCAGGAUGAACGCUAGCGGCAGGCUUAACACAUGCAAGUCGAGGGGCAUCGGGAGUAGCAAUACUGCCGGCGACCGGCGCAAGGGUGCGUAACGCGUGAGCAACAUGCCCGUAUCAGGGGGAUAAUCCAUGGAAACGUGGUCUAAUACCCCAUAGUAAUUAUGUAAGGCAUCUUAUAUAAUUUAAAGCUUUGGUGGAUACGGAUUGGCUCGCGUGACAUUAGCUAGAUGGUAAGGUAACGGCUUACCAUGGCUACGAUGUCUAGGGGUUCUGAGAGGAAGAUCCCCCACACUGGAACUGAGACACGGUCCAGACUCCUACGGGAGGCAGCAGUGAGGAAUAUUGGACAAUGGAUGGAAAUCUGAUCCAGCCAUGCCGCGUGCAGGAAGACGGCCCUAUGGGUUGUAAACUGCUUUUGUAUGGGAGCAAUAAGGGCUACGCGUAGUCCGAUGAGAGUACCAUACGAAUAAGCACCGGCUAACUCCGUGCCAGCCGCCGC
rnacentral:rRNA from 1 species